rnacentral:lncRNA from 1 species
GGAGGAGGCGGCCCUGGCGCGGGGAAGCAGUGGGAAAAUCGCAAGGAAGCCGGCGCUGCUCUGAAGGGAGAGUCUGUGCAGUGGCACCUGCGCGAAGCUGGCCAAAGCCUGCCCAGACGGCUCACCUGUGCGGGAUGGAACAAAAGAAUUUCGCUCUUGUUGCCCACUGUUGUCCAGGCUGGAGUGCAAUGGCACGAUCUCAGCUCACCACAACCUCCGCCUCCUGGGUUCAAGUGAUUCUCCUACCUCAGCCUCCUGAGUAGCUGGGAUUACAGAUGGAGUCUCGCUCUGUCGCCACAGUGCAGUGGUGCUAUCUGGGCUCACUGCAACCUCCAUCUCCCGGAUUCAAGCGAUUCUCCUGCCUCAGCCUCCCGAGUAGCUGGGACUACAGGCACCUGCCACCACGUCCAGCUCAUUUUUUUGUAUUUUUAGUAGAGACGGGGCUUCACCAUGUUGACUAGGAUGGUCUCGAUCUCCUGACCUCGUGAUCCGCCUGCCUCGGCCUCCCAAAGUGCUGGGAUUACAGGUGCUCAUCAUCCAGUUUCUAUAAUAAUUGAUGACCAAAUUUUUUCCU